rnacentral:misc_RNA from 1 species
GAAAUGCGAUAAGUAAUGUGAAUUGCAGAAUUCAGUGAAUCAUCGAGUCUUUGAACGCACAUUGCGCCCCCUGGCAUUCCGGGGGGCAUGCCCGUUCGAGCGUCAUUACACCCAUCAAGCCUCGCUUGGUAUUGGGCCCCGGGGGUGACCCGGGCCCCCAUGUCUCCGGCGGGAGCGUCCCGAGCCCAGCGUUGUGGCACUACCGUGUUCGCUGGCGGCGACGGGCCUCUCAUGCCGUUAAACCCACCUUCUCAAGGUUGACCUCGGAUCGGGUAGGGAUACCCGCUGAACUUAA